UUUCCGUAGGUGAACCUGCGGAAGGAUCAUUAUUGUAUAACCGAGGUGCGAGGGCUGUCGCUGACCCGAAAGGUCGUGCACGCCCGAGUGCCCUCACACACAUCCAUCUCACCCCUAUGUGCACCACCGCGUGGGUCACCCUUUGGCUUGGUCGGAGGGGGGCUUACGUUUUCACACAAACUUUGUAUGCAGUGUAGAAUGUAUUUUUUGUUUUUGCGAUCACGCAAUCAAUACAACUUUCAACAACGGAUCUCUUGGCUCUC
rnacentral:misc_RNA from 1 species